GACGAACCGAGCGAACGUUAUUCGGAUUCACUGGGUUUAAAGGGUGCGUAGGUGGGCAGGUAAGUCAGUGGUGAAAUCUCCGAGCUUAACUCGGAAACUGCCAUUGAUACUAUCUGUCUUGAAUUUUCUGGAGGUGAGCGGAAUAUGUCAUGUAGCGGUGAAAUGCUUAGAUAUGACAUAGAACACCCAUUGCGAAGGCAGCUCACUACGGGACAAUUGACACUGAGGCACGAAAGCGUGGGGAGCGAACAGG
rnacentral:rRNA from 1 species